UCGUAGAGAAGUAGCAAAGCAUCUCUAUCAACAUGAAACUGUUCGGCUUAGUAGUUCUUGCUCUGGCGGUGUUCGCUAUGCUGAUGGGCGGCGUGAGCGCAAGCCCUAAGGGAGGCGGCAGUGCGCUCAGGACCGGAGCUAAGGUUGCUAAAGGCGGACUUGGAGCCGGGGCCGCCGCCGCGACCGCUCGCGAACUCUACGAAAAAUUUAAGAACAGGAAAGGUUGAUUCUUAACUUUUAAAUAAACUCUUUAUUUACAUAUUUUAUUUUGUAAAUGUAUUAAAUUGUUAAUAAACAAUCAAUAAAAUCGAA